AUUGAACGCUGGCGGCAGGCCUAACACAUGCAAGUCGAGCGGAGCGGCGGACGGGUGAGUAAUGCCUAGGAAUCUGCCUGGUAGUGGGGGAUAACGUCCGGAAACGGGCGCUAAUACCGCAUACUCUCAGAUGAGCCUAGGUUGGAUUAGCUAGUUGGUGGGGUAACGGCCUACCCAGGCGACGAUCCGUAACUGGUCCGAGAGGAUGAUCAGACACACUGGAACUGAGACACGGUCCAGACGCCUACGUGAGGCAGCAGUGGGGAAUAGUGGACAAUGGGCGAAAGCCUGAUGCAGCCAUGCCGCGUGUGUGAAGAAGGUCUUCGGAUUGUAAAGCACUUUAAGCUGGGAGGCGUUACCGUCAGAAUAAGCACCGGCUAACUUCGUGCCAGCAGCCGCGGUAAUAC
rnacentral:rRNA from 1 species